rnacentral:rRNA from 1 species
GACAGAGGGUGCAAACGUUGUUCGGAAUUACUGGGCGUAAAGCGUGUGUAGGCGGCCUUGCAAGUCGGAUGUGGAAGCCCCGGGCUCAACCCGGGAAGUGCACUCGAUACUGCAGGGCUUGAGUGUCGGAGAGGUUGGUGGAAUUCUCGGUGUAGAGGUGAAAUUCGUAGAUAUUCGCAAGAACACCAGUGGCGAAGGCGGCUCACUGGCCCGGUACUGACGCUGAGACGCGAAAGCGUGGGGAGCAAACAGG